UCCAAGCAAACAAAUGAAUUACUAUAACACUUAAGGGUAACACAGGAAAACACCUCCUCAAAUUUAAAUCUCCUCUCUCCUUCGAGAAGAAUCUUACGAACUCGAGAAAGCUCUCAGAAACUCCCUCUCCAGUCUUAAGUCUUGACUAAAAGAGAAAAAAAAUGAGCCGAGCAAGUCGAACACUUUACGUCGGAAAUCUUCCUGGUGAUAUUCGCCUGAGGGAAGUUGAAGAUUUGUUUUAUAAGUAUGGGCCCAUUGUCGACAUUGAUUUGAAAAUCCCGCCAAGGCCUCCAGGCUAUGCUUUUGUUGAGUUUGAAGAAGCUCGUGAUGCUGAAGAUGCAAUUCGUGGCCGGGAUGGAUAUAAUUUUGAUGGGUGUAGAUUACGGGUUGAGCUUGCCCAUGGUGGGCGAAGACAUUCAUCACCAGUGGAUCAUUAUAGCAGUUACAGUGGUAGCAGUGGUAGCCGUGGGCCUUCCAAGCGCUCUGACUAUCGUGUGUUAGUGACUGGAUUGCCUUCUUCUGCUUCAUGGCAAGACCUAAAGGAUCAUAUGCGUCGAGCUGGUGAUGUCUGCUUUUCUCAAGUCUUUCGUGAUCGUGGUGGCAUGACAGGAAUUGUGGACUACACAAACUAUGAUGACAUGAAAUAUGCUAUCAAGAAGCUUGAUGACUCUGAGUUCCGGAAUGCAUUUUCAAGGGCAUAUAUUCGGGUGAGGGAGUAUGAUUCUAGACGGAGUUACUCUAGGAGCCCCAGUCUCAGUUCAUAUGUGUCAAGAAGCCGGAGUCGAAGUCGCAGUGGAGGCUAUAGUGACAGGAGCUGGAGCAAGUCUCCCAGGGCAAAACAUUCACGGCGUUCUCGAUCUGUAUCUGUUUCUUCUCGCUCUCGUGCAGGAUCAUCUCCACGAUCUUUUUCAAGGUAUACCAUUUCUGCUUUUCUUUCUGUCUUGGUCGUUAUUUUAAGAUGUUCAAUAAGAUAUUUACCAAAGUUUUUACUUUGUUGUAACUCAAGGUCAUUUUUAUCACAAAUGGUUGAUAGGUGUUACAAUUUGCAUUAGACCUUUUUUAUUUAUUUAUACAUCUUGAUUUGCAUUUUUAUCUAAUGGGAUGGGUUUCUAAGAGAAGGGAAAUUAGAAGGGCUGAUUAUCCAAGAAAUGGGAAGAUAAUAGGGAAUUAGGGAAAAGAUAAAUCUGUAAACAUUCUAUUCUCUUCUGCAUUUGGUUGCCGUUUUAUUCUUCCUACUGCCCUCCUUUUUACAUCAUAAGUCAUGAGUUUUCCAUGAUUUUAUUAGCAACUCUUUUCUUCAUUCCUUUAUAAGAUUUAGUUGAAAUCACUUCAAUUUUGACAUGCACGUCUUUUUGUUAUUGCAUUUUCCCAAAGAGCUUAUAAUGUUGGAUUCCUUUAUAACUAUUACAUGAAAGAGCCAGAGUGUGGAUAAAUAAUCUAAUUUUUUAAUUUUUUGUUAUUCAUUAAGGUCGAUUUUACUGAAUCAAUGCGCAAAAGCUUAUGAAAUAGUAGCAAUAAGCCAAUAACUUGGUUUCUCAUGACCAUUGACUCAUCCCAUCUAGAGCAGCAUAAUAGCCAAGGUUACAGCUUCAGUUUUGCACGCAUCUGACUUGAGUUCUAAAGCUUCUUGGUGUCUUUGAAUGGACAUUCACACGGGUAGAACAUAUUUCUAUCGCCUCUAUUACAAAAAGUUUUGAAAGUCCCAAGUCCUUAACUUUUCAUGAUUGACUGGUCAAUGUUAAAUCUUUGUUGGCAUGAGAAACACGCCUUAUGAUUAAGUUACUGGAGCAUCGACAGAAGCCCACUUACACCUGCAGAAACUUUUGAGGCUGAUCACAAUUUUAGGUAGAGUAAUGAUUGUAGUUCUUUCUUUGCAUUUUCAAAUUUACUACUACAGAGCAUAUUCUUCGAUCUCAAUGUCUGGCUCUUUGUGCCUGCCUGUUAUCUUCCAUUCCUUAGUGAGCUUGCCAUUUUAGUGAGCCUGUUAUCUUCUGGCUCUUUUAAGUGAUUCAUCUUCGUUCUCAUUUGUUUUGUUGGUCAAUCUUUUUGUUUUUGUUUGUAUCUGCUAGUAUGUCAGUGGAUGAAUCCCCAAAUUUCAUAGUAUUUUUCAGUAAUUUCCUUCUUCUGAUGGUGUCUUUCCUUGAUAAUUGGAAAUUUCAAAUGCUGUGGCAAUAUCAAGUGUCUUGUACCAUGGCAUUCCAACAUAAACCUUCUAGCUGUGCAACUUCAUGCUAUUCUUAAUCUUUCUUCUUCACCAAUUUGACAAUCUUGGUUAGAUGCUAAUAAAAUCUUAACCGCCUUUUGGAAAUGGAAAACUAAUCUUUGCUUGAAAGAGUGAAAAGUGCCACCAGGAAAGGGUUUCUGAGUUGGCUAGUAGCGUACCUUGUUUGUCUUCCUUGUUUGUUUUGCUUGAUCUGGCUUUAUGCAGCGACCUGACCACCUGGGGGAUUGGAUGUUAAGGACUUGAUGGGAUGUGGUGGUCAUAUGCUUGCACCUCUUUGCUUGUUUUGAGGUAAUGCUGUUUUUGUUGAUGGGCACCUCUGGAAAAUCCUCAUAAUCUCGUAAUGCUAUUAAGUUGGUUCCUAAUAAUCUCACAAUGCUAUUAAGUUGGUGUGUCAAUUAGCAUUAGAAUUGAUGAAGCUUGGAUGGGAUUAUGAUUUUAAAGCUGGAUUACUGUGAAGUAAGCACUAUUGGUGCCACCCGUCCAUCAGUGGUACAAAGAAGCUUGAAACUGCUUCGACAUUACCCUUAACCUGUGUUUGGUAUUCUCCUUGGAUUUGGUGAUACCGGCAGGGAGGAUGUAGCUCUUCUUUCUUCUGGUCCCUUUCAAGAUCAAGAUCUCCUCUUGCUUCU